GGGUUAAGUCCCGCAACGAGCGCAACCCUCGACCUUAGUUGCCAGCAUUCAGUUGGGCACUCUAAGGUGACUGACCGGCUAAAAGUCGGAGGAAGGUGGGGAUGACGUCAAAUCAUCAUGCCCCUUAUGACCUGGGCUACACACGUGCUACAAUGGGCGGUACAAAGGGUCGCGAACCCGCGAGGGGGAGCCAAUCCCAAAAAGCCGCUCUCGGUUCGGAUUGCAGGCUGCAACUCGCCUGCAUGAAGCCGGAAUCGCUAGUAAUCGCGGAUCAGCAUGCCGCGGUGAAUACGUUCCCGGGCCUU
rnacentral:rRNA from 1 species